GGUUGCCCUCUAGAAGCGCUUUCUUUAAAUUCUGGUCUGUUGUGCUGUUCGUUUACGGCUCUAGCAAAAGUUUUGCCGAGUAUAAGGAAUUAUUUCUACGUGGUUAAACUGGCUGGCUACACGGGAGUUGAAUCCAAGAACGGAAGUGUGUCGUUCCGCUUACCUGUGCUUCUGCGCCAUUCGGUAACCACAGGAGAGGACCUGCGUGGACAAAAGGAGAAAAGAGAGAGCCAUUACAACUUGCUCAAGAAGGUCAAGCGCAAAAGGGAUAGCCACGACUGUUUGCCAUGGAAGUAAGCGGGCUGCUGUAGUGCAUUGACAACUGAUUCAUCCAGCACGUCCGUGGCGAAUACGACAAUGGAUGACAUGCACCGAUCAUCGGAAGCCGUGCAACUCUGCUCAUCACCUCUGGAGUCGCUGUUCAGGCUUGGUUCACCAGGACCCUGGUGGAUAUAGUCAUUCUCCAUGCAAUCCACGGCGUUAAAUAUGCUCAUGACAUUAAAAAUUUUAACGAAAUUGUGCGAAGACACCGCACCACACGCCGCGCUCACAGAAUCGCACUGCAGGCAAGGUGCAGCGAUGCUC